rnacentral:rRNA from 1 species
AUACGUAGGGGACAAGCGUUAUCCGGAUUUACUGGGUGUAAAGGGAGCGCAGACGGCAGUGCAAGUCUGAAGUGGAAGCCCGGGGAUCAACCCCGGGACUGCUUUGGAAACUGGUCUGCUGUAGUACUGGAAGGGCAAGCGGAAUUCCGGGGUUAGCGGUGAAAUGCGUAGAUAUCAGGAGGAACACCGGUGGCGAAGGCGGCUUGCUGGACAGCAACUGACGUUGAGGCUCGAGAGCGUGGGGAGCAAACAGGAUUAGAUACCCUGGUAGUCCACGCUGUAAACGAUGAAUACUAGGUGUUGGAAGACUAAGUCUUUCAGUGCCGUCGCAAACGCAGUAAGUAUUCCACCUGGGGAGUACGUUCGCAAGAAUGAAACUCAAAUGAAUUGGCGGGG